rnacentral:rRNA from 1 species
UACGAAGGGUGCAAGCGUUACUCGGAAUUACUGGGCGUAAAGCGUGCGUAGGUGGUGCGUUAAGUCUGUCGUGAAAGCCCCGGGCUCAACCUGGAAUGGCGAUGGAUACUGGCGCGCUAGAGUGCGGUAGAGGAGAGUGGAAUUCCCGGUGUAGCAGUGAAAUGCGUAGAGAUCGGGAGGAACAUCAGUUGCGAAGGCGGCUCUCUGGACCAGCACUGACACUGAGGCACGAAAGCGUGGGGAGCAAACAGG